GAUGAACGCUGGCGGCGUGCCUAAUACAUGCAAGUCGAGCGAACGGACGAGAAGCUUGCUCUUCUGAUGUUAGCGGCGGACGGGUGAGUAACACGUGGAUAACCUACCUAUAAGACUGGGAUAACUUCGGGAAACCGGAGCUAAUACCGGAUAAUAUUUUGAACCGCAUGGUUCAAAAGUGAAAGGCGGUUUUGCUGUCACUUAUAGAUGGAUCCGCGCUGCAUUAGCUAGUUGGUAAGGUAACGGCUUACCAAGGCAACGAUGCAUAGCCGACCUGAGAGGGUGAUCGGCCACACUGGAACUGAGACACGGUCCAGACUCCUACGGGAGGCAGCAGUAGGGAAUCUUCCGCAAUGGGCGAAAGCCUGACGGAGCAACGCCGCGUGAGUGAUGAAGGUCUUCGGAUCGUAAAACUCUGUUAUUAGGGAAGAACAUAUGUGUAAGUAACUGUGCACAUCUUGACGGUACCUAAUCAGAAAGCCACGGCUAACUACGUG
rnacentral:rRNA from 1 species